GCAGAGGUCUCUGCUUUGGCAGUCGCCCUGGAACGCCGUGCUGCGGCUUAUGGCGGAGCACUCAUCGCCGGUUGCUGCGCCCUGGCCACCUGAGUAGCAGCAUGAAGAUCAAGGAAACUAAAGUUGCCAUCUUGCAGGGCUUCAACUCCAUGGCUGCUGAUAGAUCGAUAUUUUGAGCUCAAUUCUCAGAAUUUGCAGAUAUCGUCGUCUAGAAGAACUGAAAAAUUGUUGGGCGAGGUAGCUAUUGGUACGGUUGAGGCUAUUGUUGGUGCGUGGUAUUUAUAUAUAUGCAUCGAUCAGAGAGGUGCUGCAUGCGUGCUUGCAUAGAUAGGCAAGGUGGAUCUUGAUUGCCAGCCAAAAUGGAAGUGCAUUAUAUUUAUAUAUCAUGUUUCUAUUUGCA